rnacentral:rRNA from 1 species
AUGGAGGCGGAGGGGGAGAUCGGUGUGAGCGGCAGGAAGAGGACCAGGGGGGAGGGCAGCGGCGGCGGCGGCGGCGAGCAGAUGGUGUCCGUCGGCAGCAACUGCGGCGUCAUCGAGCUGGAUGCUCUGGACUGCAGCGUCUGCUACGACCACCUCCGGCCGCCGGUCUUCCAGUCUGAAGAAAUUGGUAUAUUUAUUACACCACCAGAUUUCCCUUUACCCAGAACUGGUGUGUUAUGGGGCAACCUCCUGAACAAGGACAAGUGCCACGUGUGCUCCAUCACCGGCGGCUACAACCGCUGCAUUGCGGUCGAGCAGAUCCUAGAGUCCGUCCGGGCACCUUGCUCCAACACCAAGUACGGGUGCACCGUCAAGAUGCAUUACCACGAGCUGAAGGAUCACGAGAAGUCAUGCCCCCGCGCGCCGUGCUUCUGCCCUGAAGCCGGGUGUGGCUUUGCCGGGUCCACCGGUGUGCUCCUGCGCCACUUCACGGAUGACCAUGGCUGGCCAUCAACUGAGUUCAAGUUUGGACGUGAUUCCGUCCUGCAGAUCCAGGAAGGAAUGCAUGUUCUCCACAGCAGAGAGGGUGGCCGCCUGUUCCUGGUGAAAUUCACGCCGGUGCCGCCUUUCGGCAAUGCCGCCUCCAUCUUGCGUGUUCAUCCUCAUGCCCUUGUGGGGGAGCGCAAGUUCAGGUGUCAGGUUGGUUACAACUGCGACACCAUUGGUUGGCAUCAGUAUUCAAAUCUCCAUCCCAGAAGCACCAAUCUGUCCAACGGCUUACCGGUGGACGAUGGCAGUUACUCACUGGUUGUGCCAGCUGUUCCUGCUUACUUGCCCGCUGCUAACAGCAUCAAGAUCACUAUCUCGAGGGUAUCUUGA